AUGCAAGUCGAACGAGAUUUUUCGUUGUAGCAAUACGAUGGAAAGUCUAGUGGCGAACGGGUGCUUAACACGUGGGCAACCUGCCAGGAAGUGGGGGAUAGCUCGCCGAAAGGCGAAUUAAUACCGCAUGUGAUUAGAGAGGACAUCCUUUCGAAAUUAAAGUCGGGGCAACCUGACGCUUCUUGUGGGGCCCGCGGCCUAUCAGCUAGUUGGUGAGGUAACGGCCCACCAAGGCUUUGACGGGUAGCUGGUCUGAGAGGACGACCAGCCACACUGGGACUGAGACACGGCCCAGACACCUACGGGUGGCAGCAGUCGAGAAUUUUUGACAAUGGGGGAAACCCUGAUCGAGCGACGCCGCGUGGAGGAUGAAGGUCUUCGGAUUGUAAACUCCUGUCAUUGGGGAACAAUGCACAGAUAUUAACUGUAUUUGUGUUGAUAGUACCCGAAGAGGAAGAGACGGCUAACUCUGUGCCAGCAGCCGCGGUAAUACAGAGGUCUCAAGCGUUGUUCGGAUUCAUUGGGCGUAAAGGGUGCGUAGGCGGCGCGGUAAGUCGGGUGUGAAAUCUCGGGGCUUAACUCCGAAACUGCAUUCGAUACUGCCGUGCUUGAGGACUGGAGAGGAGACUGGAAUUUACGGUGUAGCGGUGAAAUGCGUAGAUAUCGUA
rnacentral:rRNA from 1 species